rnacentral:rRNA from 1 species
UGCCAGCCGCCGCGGUAAAACCAGCACCUCAAGUGGUCAGGAUGAUUAUUGGGCCUAAAGCAUCCGUAGCCUGUUCUGUAAGUUUUCGGUUAAAUCUAUACGCUCAGCGUAUAGGCUGCCGAAAAUACUGCAGAACUAGGGAGUGGGAGAGGUAGACGGUACUCGGUAGGAAGGGGUAAAAUCCUUUGAUCUAUUGAUGACCACCUGUGGCGAAGGCGGUCUACCAGAACACGUUCGACGGUGAGGGAUGAAAGCUGGGGGAGCAAACCGGAUUAGAUA